GAUGAAGAACGUAGCGAAAUGCGAUAAGUAAUGUGAAUUGCAGAAUUCAGUGAAUCAUCGAAUCUUUGAACGCACAUUGCGCCCGUCAGUAUUCUGGCGGGCAUGCCUGUUCGAGCGUCAUUACGCCCCUCAAGUCCCCUGUGGACUUGGUGUUGGGGAUCGGCGAGGCUGGUUUUCCAGCACAGCCGUCCCUUAAAUUAAUUGGCGGUCUCGCCGUGGCCCUCCUCUGCGCAGUAGUAAAACACUCGCAACAGGAGCCCGGCGCGGUCCACUACCGUAAAACCCCCCAACUUUUUAUAGUUGACCUCGAAUCAGGUAGGACUACCCGCUGAACUUAAGCAUAUCAAUAAGCGGAGGA
rnacentral:misc_RNA from 1 species